rnacentral:rRNA from 1 species
UGUUGGGUAGGGGAGCGUUCUGUAAGCCUGUGAAGGUGGCCUGUGAGGGUUGCUGGAGGUAUCAGAAGUGCGAAUGCUGACAUAAGUAACGAUAAAGCGGGUGAAAAGCCCGCUCGCCGGAAGACCAAGGGUUCCUGUCCAACGUUAAUCGGGGCAGGGUGAGUCGACCCCUAAGGCGAGGCCGAAAGGCGUAGUCGAUGGGAAACGGGUUAAUAUUCCCGUACUUGGUGUUACUGCGAAGGGGGGACGGAGAAGGCUAUGUUGGCCGGGCGACGGUUGUCCCGGUUUAAGCGUGUAGGUGUGUGUUCCAGGUAAAUCCGGUUCACUUUAACACUGAGGCGUGAUGACGAGGCACUACGGUGCUGAAGCAACAAAUGCCCUGCUUCCAGGAAAAGCCUCUAAGCAUCAGGUAACAUCAAAUCGUACCCCAAACCGACACAGGUGGUCAGGUAGAGAAUACCAAGGCGCUUGAGAGAACUCGGGUGAAGGAACUAGGCAAAAUGGUGCCGUAACUUCGGGAGAAGGCACGCUGACAC